AUGGUACUCCCGCCAGCAGAACCAGCCGGCACGAAGAAACAAGCUGAACGCAAGAAGGAAAACAAACGACAAAGGGUAGAAAAAGAACAAGACGAUACCAAUAGCAAAGGUUCAGAUACCAAUGAUGACGACGAUGACAGACAGCAUGAUGCAGAUCUCAUUCCUACAGACGGUGAUGAUCCCGAAGAGCACGAUAGCGACGCGGAACAUGACAACGAUCCCAAAUCAGGCAAGAAGGAUAGAAAGAGAAGAAAGACAAGCGGAAAAGAAUUGGCAGCACCAAUAGUUGACGAAGAACAGCAAGAAACAAACGGAGAGAAAUGCCAAAUCAAGGCAGGGGCAGCAUUCGCUCAUGUCAAGAAAGCAUGGAAUUUACUUAAAGACCAUCACAAGAAAGAUAUUAGGACGGCAAGAUUUGGCAGCAUAGAGAACUGCAAAAUAACGGGCUCCAUCUGCAGACCGCUUGCAGCACACAUCUACGACAACCUCGACACAGAAACCAUGACAAUAACCUUCGGUGAUGCUACUGAAGACAAAAAAAUCAAGAUUACCAAGGAAGCUACCCACAAGGUGUUUGGAUACCCAAACAGCACGCAAAGCGCCGCUAUCUUCGCCCGGACAGCUAUAAUGGUCAAGGACAUGGACUAUCUAGAAAUGGCAAAGAUGGAUUUCUGCGAGGUAAUCGUCGAAUGUAUUAGGGAAGGAGCCAAGACAUGGCAGAAGCACGGGACGUUGUCUCAGGAAGAAAAGAACAAAAAGCACGUCAAUGGUUUGGCACAGGUACCAGUAAUCAUGUACCUUGACUCCCUGCUGCUGCCAACCGACACAAAAGAAAUGCGGAAGAUUGCAAAGACAAUGGACAAAACCUCAUUACCACGAGCAAACCAUCUCAAAGAGAGUGACCUAGCGAAAAUAGCUAGAGCAGACAUGAAAACGGACGGAAAAGCACGACCAGAUGACUAUGAAUUUGGCAAGAUACAGGAGAACAUCGUAAAGAACAGCAACACCAGCACACAACCAAACUGCUACCACCUCCACCCAAGCGUCGGUGCGAACCACUACAUAGUUUGCACAAGGUACCUCACAGACAAUGCGACCCUGCAGACGCUAGAGCAAGCAGAUCGAGCAGCAUCAAGUAGACUGGUCGAUGCCAACCACAGGAAUGAAAUCGUAGACACAACAGAACAAAGAGAAAGGAGAAAAGGUAAGAAAGAAGAAGAGGACGAAUAG
rnacentral:rRNA from 1 species